rnacentral:lncRNA from 1 species
AGAUGCGGAUGAAGGGGUUCCUGUUACAGCACCAGGCUUGAUUCUGAUGCCUGAAGAAGCAUUUCGUGAAGAGGGAAAAAUGAAUGUUUCUAAUACCUUAGUUGAAUCUGAGGGUGCUGAGGAGUUCAAUGCGACGCAGGUAACGGCAUAAGAAUAAUUCUUUGCUUUUUAUUGUUGUUUUUUGUCUUUCAUCUUACCAGAGAGAAACUCUAGGAAAAGAAAAUCAGAGAGGAAGCAAAGAAGAAAUGAGUCGCACGUUGACGCAAAACCUCGUACAUUAACGAGUAGGAUGUUUUGUCACUA